AUUGAACGCUGGCGGCAUGCCUAACACAUGCAAGUCGAACGAAGUGGCGCACGGGUGCGUAACGCGUGGGAAUCUGCCCUUGGUUCGGAAUAACAGCGAGAAAUUGCUGCUAAUACCGGAUGCCUGAGGAUGAGCCCGCGUUGGAUUAGGUAGUUGGUGGGGUAAAGGCCUACCAAGCCGACGAUCCAUAGCUGGUCUGAGAGGAUGAUCAGCCACACUGGGACUGAGACACGGCCCAGACUCCUACGGGAGGCAGCAGUGGGGGAUAUUGGACAAUGGGGGAAAGCCUGAUCCAGCAAUGCCGGGUGAGUGAUGAAGGCCGUAGGGUUGUAAAGCUCUUUUACCCGGGAUGCAGUACCGGGAGAAUAAGCUCCGGCUAACUCCGUGCCAGCAGCCGCGGUAAUUC
rnacentral:rRNA from 1 species